UGGACGGGUGAGUAAUGUCUGGGAAACUGCCCGAUGGAGGGGGAUAACUACUGGAAACGGUAGCUAAUACCGCAUAACGUCGCAAGACCAAAGAGGGGGACCUUAGGGCCUCUUGCCAUCGGAUGUGCCCAGAUGGGAUUAGCUAGUAGGUGGGGUAACGGCUCACCUAGGCGACGAUCCCUAGCUGGUCUGAGAGGAUGACCAGCCACACUGGAACUGAGACACGGUCCAG
rnacentral:rRNA from 1 species